GAUUUUGAGGUUUGGGGUUAUUCAAAGACUCAAUUUUAAGAAAUCUGAUCUACGGUUUUGUUGUAGUUCAGAGGGUUUUUGAAUUUUUGGGGUUUCAUGGCGGAUUUAGUGAAGCAGAUCUUGACAAAGCCGAUCCAGUUAGCAGACCAGGUGAUAAAGGCAGCUGAUGAGGCAAGUUCGUUCAAGCAAGAAUGUACUGAUCUCAGGUCCAAAACUGAGAAACUUGUGGCUCUUCUCCGACAGGCUGCACGCGCCGGCAACGACCUUUAUGAACGGCCCACGCGUCGGAUCAUUGACGACACCGAACAAGUUCUUGAGAAAGCUUUGGCUCUUGUGCUCAAGUGCAGAGCCCAUGGACUUGUUAAGCGAGUUUUUACCAUCAUCCCUGCUGCACAAUUCCGUAAAAUGUCUUCUCAAUUGGAAAACUCCAUUGGUGACGUGUCUUGGCUUCUCCGUGUUUCGGCUUCAGCUGAUGAACGAGCUGAUGACUGUUU
rnacentral:misc_RNA from 1 species